rnacentral:rRNA from 1 species
UACGAAGGGGGCUAGCGUUGCUCGGAAUCACUGGGCGUAAAGCGCACGUAGGCGGACUCUUAAGUCGGUGGUGAAAUCCUGGAGCUCAACUCCAGAACUGCCUUCGAUACUGGGAGUCUUGAGUCCGGGAGAGGUGAGUGGAACUGCGAGUGUAGAGGUGAAAUUCGUAGAUAUUCGCAAGAACACCAGUGGCGAAGGCGGCUCACUGGCCCGGUACUGACGCUGAGGUGCGAAAGCGUGGGGAUCAAACAGG